CUCUUAUCUAGAGCGGUGGAGGGGCUGGCCCUGUGAAACCGCGGCAACCUUCAAACUUAUUGUUUGAAAGGUGCUAACUCCUGCAAAGCAUUGCUUUGACAGAUGAGAG
rnacentral:ncRNA from 2 species